UCUCUGUUCUCUGAUCAGUUCCAUAUGGGCAGCCGAAUGUUAACUGAUGUAAUCAGCAAGAAGUUCAGGGUUGAGAAAGGAAGCAGAGAGAGUCUGAUGAAAGAUGCUACACAUGUGGAUGUAGUUCAGCUUUCUUGAAAAAGCAGGAAUAAAGUUUGCUCUCCAACCAAGCUGUCUAGUUGCUAUUGUAGCUGCUGCUGCUUUAUCUCUUCAGAACUGAUGAGAUUUCUCCAGUUGAUGGCACUGCUGUGGGUCCCUUCUGAGACAUUUGCCAUAUCCCUAUUUCUUCUAUAGACUCAACUGCCUCUG